rnacentral:rRNA from 1 species
AUACGGGGGGGGCAAGCGUUGUCCGGAAUCAUUGGGCGUAAAGGGUGAGUAGGCGGGAUGGUAAGUCAGAGGUGAAAGUCCAGAGCUUAACUCUGGAUCUGCCUCUGAUACUGCUGUCCUUGAGUGCGGGAGAGGGAAGUGGAAUUCCCGGUGUAGCGGUGAAUGCGUAGAUAUCGGGAAGAACACCAGUGGCGAAGGCGGCUUCCUGGCCCGCAACUGACGCUGAAUCACGAAAGCGUGGGGAGCAAACAGGAUUAGAAACCCCAGUAGUCC